UCUCCUGCUGGCCAUCUUGUGGCCAUCUUGUGUCCACAUGGGGACAGUCAUCUUGUGUGUUGGAGUAAUGGUCAAUUUGCAUAUUACUCUUAUUAGCUAGGAUACCGCCUUUAUCUGGCAUUCAUUUACUUGAAAAUUCAUUACUUUUUUUGGGGGGUGAGGUUUGCUUUAUCUACUGGACACUGAAAAAUUAGGCAUUCUAUGUUAUUUUUCAAAAUAACUGACUUAUUAAAAGCUAUUGUUAAUGGAAAUCGCUUCAGGAUCCACUUCUACUUUUUCAUAGUGAUUAAGGUCAUAAAAGUAGUCAUCUUGCCAGAGCUUUUAGGUGAUGAGAAUAUUGUCUUCCAUACUUUUUAUCUCCAAACAGAUAUUUAAAAAAAAAAUUCUCAGAUCUCCAGUGAUAGCCCUCUCUACUCCUCUCUGUCUACCUGUGUUCUCACCACUUUCAAAGCUCUGCCUCCCUUUUUAUGUAAACAUCUGCAUCAGUCCCAGGAAGGCUCCACUUUCCCAUGGGCUCAGCUGCACCGUAAGCCACUCAAAAACCCUUUGGCUUCAUCUUUGUAUUCUAUAUAGUUAGAGCUGUCAAAAAGUAUGGCCUCCAGAUAAGUGAGCUUUACUUUUAUGUA